CGGGGAGUAGAGCAGCCUGAUGGUAGCUCGCAAGGCUAAUAACCUUGAGGUCGCGGGUUCAAAUCCCGCCUCCCCGC
rnacentral:tRNA from 1 species